AGUGAGAGCUUGAAGGUAUUGGCCAACAUGCCAAUACCAGCAAUGAAGUCUCACAUCCCGCUUCCCACAUCUCACUUCUCAAUAGUGGCGGACGGGUGAGUAACGCGUGGGCAACCUACCCAUCAGACUGGGAUAACACCGGGAAACUGGUGCUAAUACCGGAUACGCUUAUGGAGGGGCAUCCCUUUGUAAGGAAAGAAAAUCGCUGAUGGAUGGGCCCGCGUCUGAUUAGCUAGUUGGUUGGGUAGUGGCCUACCAAGGCGACGAUCAGUAGCCGGCCUGAGAGGGUGACCGGCCACACUGGGACUGAGACACGGCCCAGACUCCUACGGGAGGCAGCAGUGGGGAAUAUUGCGCAAUGGGGGAAACCCUGACGCAGCAACGCCGCGUGAGUGACGAAGGCCUUCGGGUCGUAAAGCUCUGUCGACAGGGACGAAUAGAUGACGGUACCUGAGGAGGAAGCCCCGGCUAACUACGUGCCAGCAGCCGCGGUAAUACGUAGGGGGCGAGCGUUGUCCGGAAUUAUUGGGCGUAAAGGGCGUGUAGGCGGGUACCUAAGUCAGUG
rnacentral:rRNA from 1 species